CCAGGGCACACCUGACACCAUAACCACUACAGUGUGUUGUAGUGGUUAUGGUGCUGGAAGUGUUCCUUUA